ACAAAGGCUAUGAAAAGAAAUAGUAUCAAUUCAUUUUUACAAACAGAAAGUUACCGGUUGUUGAGAGGUGCAUGUAAAACGAUUGAGAAUUCAUCUUGGAGCUGUGUACCGAAAAGAUUUUUCUUAGUAGGCUAUACCGGUAAGCAUCCGUAAUCAUGUGCAACAGUAUCGUCAGUAAAUGACUGACCGUACUUUCUAAGGUAAGCAAUGUGAGUUGCUUACAAAUUAAAGGUGGUAACACGAGUUGAAUCGUCCUUUUG
rnacentral:ncRNA from 1 species